AGUGAACGCUGGCGGUAGGCCUAACACAUGCAAGUCGAACGGCAGCACAGUAAGAGCUUGCUCUUACGGGUGGCGAGUGGCGGACGGGUGAGGAAUACAUCGGAAUCUACUUUUUCGUGGGGGAUAACGUAGGGAAACUUACGCGAAUACCGCAUACGACCUACGUGUGAAAGCAGGGGAUCUUCGGACCUUGCGCGAGUGAAUGAGCCGAUGUCGGAUUAGCUAGUUGGCGGGGGAAAGGCGAUCCAAGGCGACGAUCCGUAGCUGGUAUGAGAGGAUGAUCAGCCACACUGUGACUGAGACACGGUCCAGACUCCUACGGGAGGAAGCAGUGGGGAAUCUUGGACAAUGGGGGCAAGCCUGAUCCAGCCAUACCGCGUGGGUGAAGAAGGCCUUCUGGUUGGAAAGCCCUUUUGUUGGGAAAGAAAAGCAGCAGGUUAAUACCCCGCUGUUCUGACGGUACCCAAAGAAUAAGCACCGGCUAACUUCGUG
rnacentral:rRNA from 1 species